AUUGAACGCUGGCGGCAGGCUUAACACAUGCAAGUCGAGCGAGCGGCGGACGGGUGAGUAAUGUCUGGGAAACUGCCUGAUGGAGGGGGAUAACUAGUGGAAACGGUAGCUAAGACCGCAGAACGAACGAUGUGCCCAGAUGGGAUUAGCUAGUAGGUGGGGUAAUGGCUCACCUAGGCGACGAUCCCUAGCUGGUCUGAGAGGAUGACCAGCCACACUGGAACUGAGACACGGUCCAGACUCCUACGGGAGGCAGCAGUGGGGAAUAUUGCACAAUGGGCGCAAGCCUGAUGCAGCCAUGCCGCGUGUGUGAAGAAGGCCUUCGGGUUGUAAAGCACUUUCAGCGAGGAGGCGUUACUCGCAGAAGAAGCAUUGGCUAACUCCGUGCCAGCAGCCGCGGUAAUAC
rnacentral:rRNA from 1 species